UUUUGGAGAUGUGUGACCAAAUCUAUGGCCUCUGGGGUUUCCAGCAUGUAGGCUAGUGCUUUUACAGGUUGAACUAUCUUCCUAUACUGAAGGCAUAGUUUUGAGUCUAAAAUAACACUCUAAAUGGCAGGACCUACAUGUACUCCCUAUAUGCAUACCGUUAUUAAAAUUUAGAUUCCCCCCCCCCAUUUGCUUUAUGUUGUUUGGGUUAUUUCUUUAGUUUAAGAAGGUCCCAGAAGUGUCUAAGAUUUUUCUCCAGUACUUCAACACAGAAAAAUUUGUUAGUGGUGCACCCCAUAGAGCGCACAUGUUAUAAUGUGCAAGGACCUUGGUUUAAGCCCCAAGUCCCCACCAGCAGGGAGAAACUUCACAAGCUGUAGAGCAAUGCUAUACACCUCUCUCUCUCUCUCUCUCUCUCUCACACACACACACACACACACACACACACACACACACACACACACACACUCCCCUUCUCUUCUUCCCUCCCUCCCCCUACCCUCUCAAUUUCUUUAAAAUCAUAAGUAAAUUAAUAAAUAAAUAGUGACUCAGAGGUUUAACAUAGAGGCUUAACAUAGUACUUGUAUGUAUGAAGUCCAGAAUAUACCCCAAGGUAUAUUAUGCAUAUGCCAGACUGACUGAUGAUCUGGAUCUCUCUAUUUCUCAUUGAAUAAGACAUUAAAAAUUAGAUUUAUAUGAUCAGUGGCUUUUGGGAAAUGGUAGAUUACAUAAAAAUCAAAAACUUUUAACCGUGAGGCAUUUUAAAUCUUUCUGUUUGCCAACAAUAUGAAUCUCAAAGUGGGUGAUAUUUUAUUAAGCUUUUUCUGAAUCUGGGACAGAAAGAAAGUGUUGGCACAUCAGAUUGGCAUGUCUCUGGUCCCAGAAAUUACAGGUUUGAUUCCUGGCAUCAGAAAAUGUCAGAUCUAAGCAGUGCUCUGAUCUUCCUCUUUGAUACAAACAAAUAAAUCUUUAGCAGAUUACUGGAUUCACUUGUCCUCAUACCAGCUCCUGAAGAAAAUUAUGGAUAACAGCUCAAUGUUGUCCAAAGAGGAAAAUGAGUUCUUCUAGAUUCUCACCUAGUUAGAGGCAUAGUUAGAGACAGACUCCAACCUUAAGUAUAGGUCUCCAAUUACAUAUUCCAAUGCUUUGGAUAAAGCUACUGAGUCUUCUCUGUCCCAUUUUCUGCAAGAAAAUAUUUUGGGUUGGAGUGAGCAGUACAGUCUGAUGCUCAAGAACAUGUGCCUUGGGCGCUGGGCGGUAGCGCACUGGGUUAAGCGCACAUGGUGCAAAGCACAAGAACCAGUUCAAAGACAGUGGUUCAAGCCCCUGGCUCCCCACCUGCAAGGGGGUCGCUUAACAGGUGGUGAAGUAGGUCUGCAGGUGUCUGUCUGCAGGUGUUUAUCUGUCUUUCCCUCUUUUCUUGAUUUCUCUCUGUCCUAUACAAUAACAAUAACAAUAACAGUAAGCAAUAAGUGCACCAAAAAGGAAAAAAUAAUUAAGCAACAAGCGCACCAAAAAGGAAAAAAUAAUCUCCAGGAGUAGUGCAGGCAUGAGCCCCAGCAAUAAUCCUGCAGGGGAAAACAAACAAACAAACAAACAAAAAAUAGGACCAUUUGCCAGUGGAUGAGCUUUUGUAAGUUAUUUAUUUUGCUUUCAUGAGUCUCAUUUUGAUUUCAGAAAAUAAGAAUAAUGAUUUCCCUUAUCUUAUGGUUUGCUAUGGAUUUAUAAGCUAUACAACUUGUGAACUAUAUACAUUAAUGAGAAACAAUUUGUAAUCAAUCGUAACUGGCACAUACUAUGUUAUCAUAACUGGCACAUAUUAAGUGCUUUAAAUAUGUUGCCAGUUAUUGAUAGUGCUUUUUUUUUUUUAAGAGGGAGCAGAUUCCAAAGUAUUAGGGAAGGAGAGGUAUGACAAUUGCUUUUUCUGCUGUCAACUCCUUUUUAAGAGAUUGUCAACUAAAGUGCUUACUAUUAUGCUCUACUAUGAGCAAUGCUUGGAAAUUCUCUUUUCCAUUGAAUCAAUUCUGAAAGAAAUCUCCAUCUCUACCUCUGAAUGAUGUGGUGAAGAAAAGAGGACUCUAACUCUUACCACCAGGGUAGAAGAUCCUAGCCUGGGUUUUGAACCUUUGCACAUAGGGAUUUUUAAGGUAACAAGAGGGAAAAAAGUGUCCCUAAUCCAAUUCUAUUUCAGUCUAGCUGUGAAUUCUGUAGUGGCUUAGACUUGUUUGUGAACUUUUUUCCAACCACUUUAUAGUAAGGUAAAUAUAAACAUUGAAGGUCAGCAUUUUUAAGCUUCCAUAGCAAUUUAUAGAGCAAUAUUAUGUCUCUAAAAUAUUAACUCUAAAUUCAUUUUGAAAAUAGGGUGUAUAUCACAUACCUAUCCCUGUGUAAUUUUUAAUAAUUUAUUUAUGUUGCAUUUUUACAAAGGCAUUAGUACAUACAGAAAAUUACAAUUAAACAAAGCAUAGUUUUAAUAUUAGUACGGAACAAUGGUCAACAUUACGGCUCCUGAACAGUGAUAUCAGCACCUUGUGGGCAUUUGUGAGAAAUUCUCUAUCCCACCCCAAGAAAUUCUGGGGGAGAAGGGGGCCGGGCAGUAGAGUGAAGGGUUAAGCAUAUGUGGCACAAAGCUCAAGGACCAGGUAAGGAUCCUGAUUUGAGUUCCUGGCUCCCCACCUGCAGGGGAGUCGCUUCACAGGUGAUGAAGCAGGUCUGCAGGUGUCUCUCUUUAUCUACUCCUCUCUCUCUCCUCUCUCCAUCUCUCUCUGUCCUAUCCAACAAUGAAGAUAUCAAUAACAACAAUCAAUAACAACAACAAUAACUACAACAAUAAAACAACAAGGGCAACAAAAGGGAAAAUAAAUAAAUAUUAAAAAAUUAAAAAAAAAAAAGAAAUUCUGGGGGAGGAUUGGAAAUGUUUAUUUAGCAAGUCCUUCAGGCAAUUUUAGGUACAAUGACCUUUUAGAAACACUGAAACAUCUCCAGACAAUUAUAUCUCCUGUUAAAAUUGUAAGAGCUGAUUUGAAAACUGGUACCUUUUUUUCUAAAAAAAAUUAUUUUGGUAUUAUCUUUGUUUAUUUAUUGGAAAGAGACAGCCAUAAAUUGAGAGGGAAGAGGGCAGUAGAGAGGAACAGAGACAGAGAGACACCUGCAAACCUGCUUCACCACUAGCAAAAGUUUCCCCCCUGCAGGUGGGGGAUGGGGGGGCUCAAACCCCAGUUCUUGCACAUUGUAGCAUGUGCACUCAACCACCACUCCACUCAACACUAGUACUUUUGAUAGAUGUAUCUCUUUCUGUGUGUGUGUGUGUGUAUGUGUACACUGUGUUUAUAACUACAGUUUUGCCACUCUAAGCUGACUUUUUCAGAUAGAGAAACAUAGAGAAAGAAGGUAAAACACAAAAGUACUUGAAUAUUGUAACUAGGGACACCAAGCCUGAGAUGUCAACCUCCCAAUUCUAAUCUGGUGAGUAUCUCCUAACUUAGUUUCAUUUUCAGAAGCUCACGUUAUCCAACAAAGUUACAGAUACUAGAUAGAAACUAGAGCCUAGAGUACUGGGUAUAGAUGUACAUGUAUCCAUAAGCAAGGAGCAAUCAUAUACCUGAUACUUAAAAAUACUUAAUAACCCUCUGCGAUUAUACUUAGACCUAAUGAGCCCGUGAUCAUCGUAGAAAGGCUGAAGGCAUCACAAAUUCUCUAAUUGAUUAGAAUUAGGCCUAAUAAGCUUGGUAAUCUAGUAGAAAGACCCAUAGAAGGCAGACCCCAUACAUCUAAUACUGGUUUGAAUAUAACAAAUGACAUUUAAUGUUUUAACAACUGGGAAAAAGUCUAAGCUUGUCAGAUAAAGAAAAGCUGGAUAAGGGCAAGAGACGGGCUCACUUGAUGGCCUUUUUAGUCAAUACCAGACAACCUCACCAUCUGGGACUCUAAUCAGGGAAUCCUUGAAUUCUCAAAUAAAUAUGAUGGGUCUAAACCUCUAAUAGAUCCCUCUUUCCGCCAUUACUGGUCAUUUCUAUCAAGAACAUCAGCAUAAGCUAUCUCAUGGGCUGCUCCAGAAACUUGUUCUCACUAUAAAGCAGCAAUGGUAGAGAUGCCCCACUCUCCAAUGGGAGGCUGGGUUAUCCUACCCUGCCACUUGAGGAAGACUGGUCAAGAAAUGAGUGCACCUGCAGUGUUCCCAGCUGUGACCAUAGACUGCAAGCUCAGACUAAGAGGGACUCAGAGGUUGCACAGGCUCCUUUGCUAAAUAUGAAUAUAUAUGGGCCCUGGGUCAGAUCAGUGGGGUAAACAGUUAAUUUCAUUUAUAUAUUUUCUUUUCUUUUUUGGAUGGGUAGUCCAUCCUUUCUUUUACUUCUUUUCUUUUUUUUU